rnacentral:tRNA from 2 species
AAAUAAGAAACAAAAUUUGUGUUUAGUUUCGACCUAAAAUUUUGGCUAUUAGCCCUUAUUUU